rnacentral:rRNA from 1 species
UACAGAGGGUGCGAGCGUUAAUCGGAAUUACUGGGCGUAAAGCGCACGUAGGUGGUUUUGUAAGUCGGAUGUGAAAUCCCCGGGCUUAACCCGGGAACUGCAUUCGAGACUGCAUUACUCGAGUAUGGGAGAGGGAAGCGGAAUUUCCGGUGUAGCGGUGAAAUGCGUAGAUAUCAAGAGGAACACCUGAGGCGAAGGCGGGUUGCUAGGCUGACACUGACGCUGAGUGCGCGAAAGCCAGGGGAGCAAACGGG